UAUAACUUCUGUUCCUGUGUGCACUGACGUGAUAGUGAGCAGCUGUAACAAAAGAGUUUCCCCUCGGGGAUCAAUAAAGUAUUUCUGAUCUGAUUCUUCUGAUUUUACAUUUUACUGAUCUUUAAAAGGUGCAACCUUUUCUACAUUUACUCAAAUUUUGGAGUAAAAAGUGGAAGCUCAGGUCUAACACCAUUCAGCUUUAGAUUUUUAGAUCUCUGUCCACCCUGUUGUUCAAUGGACGUACUUCUCCUCCAUGUAGGACGUCCUCAGGCAGACCCUCCAUGUUCCCACCACAUAUCACUCCCAGUCGAUACAAUAACGAGAAUAUCUCAAUGUUAUGGCGCAUCAGUCGAGUGACAAGAGGCCAGCAAUGGGCCCCUCCCUCCUGUUUGUUUGUAUUGGGGCCAUUGUACCCCAUGAAUUCAACUAAUUCAUUCACAUCCUAUUGUCAUAACACUGCUUUGUGAUUGGCCAAACACUGUGAGAACCAGCAUCACAUUAAAUCAAUGGGAAAGCUGGUAUAAGUAUAUAAAGGAGGUAGGUUUUAGUUGGUAAAAUCAUAACUCUGAAUGCCUCUAGUACCCGACACAGGCCUGGAAAACAUCUGACUGCGUAUUCACCAUGAGGGAUCAGCACACAACCAUGUGUAAGAUGAUGGUUUUGGAGAGGAAGUGCACAGACAGAGCAGCGAGGCUCCGCUCAGCACUGGAGAGCCAACUCAACACUGGGGUGUCCAGUUCUGACAUGUGGGACAAGACAGUCUCCUUCUUCACAGUAAAGAAGGCCUUGAUUUUCCAUAACGGCUACACCAAAUCCUCCAGGAGGCCAUGCGGCUGUUCCCCUCACCUGCUGAGGACGUGGCACCGCUGUGCUGCCAGUAAGAAGUGGACACACACAUGAAGACAACAUGAAAAGAGAUGGGACGUGUGGGACUAUGUGCGAGUGUGUCUACAAGCUUCAUAGUACUGAACAUCACAGCACUAUGUCAAGAAGAAGUUCCAAAUGGAAAAUAUUUUUCAGAUGGAAAAAGGACUGCAAAUCAAAAAAAGUUAACUUUUUUUUUUCCUGCUGUCUGUUGCGUGUUUUCACUCCACAGUAAGUGGAAAAGGUGGAAAAGAUGGGAGAAUUAUACCAUAUACACUGUGAUCUCAUUGGUCCACAAAUGGGCCUUAAAAUGUGCAUUUUAUGCCUUAAGCCUUAAUACUCCUCAAAACUGGUCACCUAAAGACCAUGUUGUCGAGGUUUUGUUGAACAAAAAGCCAUAUUCCUUUGUAUAAAGGGGAAACGUGUAUGCCAAUGCAUACUUUGUUUAGUAUAUGUUUUUACGACAUUGUGAGUUAUGUUAUUUUUGGUUGUCAUGUAUAAAAUGUCUCGCUGAAAGCCAUAAGUGAAAUGUGCAAUAUGUGCUUUCAUACGCAAGAUGAAAAUAAACUAAUAUUGAUGUUUUCCUCUCA